rnacentral:lncRNA from 10 species
CCAUUAUUGGCAGAACCCAACAAAAAGUACCUGUCACUGGAAAAUUGCACGUUGCAGAGUUCCAGCUCCAGCAUCACAAUGUAGAAUAUAGAAAGGAGAUGGGGACUCAUUCUGUUGCCCAGGUUGGAGUGUAGUGGUGUCAUCAUAGCUCACUGUAGCCUCCAACUCCUGGUUUCAAGAGAACCUCCUGCCUCAGCCUCCUGACUAGCUAGGACUACAGGUGCAUGCUACAGUGCCUGGCUAAUUAAAAAAAAAAUGUAGAGACAGGGUUUUUGCCAUGUUACCCAGGCUGGUCUCAAACUCCUGGCCUCAAGUGAUCUUCCUGCCUCAGCCUCCCAAAGUGCUAGGAUUACAGGAGAGAGCCACUGCACCUGGCCCUCCCUCUUUCACCUAAGAUGGUGCAACUAUUUUUCAUACAAAUAAAUCAUUGUAGUGGGCCAAUGUGAUGUUGUGUAGAAUGUCAAGAUAAUCGAGAUCUCUUCAGACUAUAUUAUGGCUGAGAGCCUAUGAGCCAACAUAUGCAUGAUGCAAGACUGUGAAGGUGUACUAUUAACCUUGUCAAGAAAAAACAAAGUUCUUUUCAUUUAUUUAUUUAUGUAAUUUUUUGAGACAGAGUCUCACUCUUGUCACCCAGGCUGGAGUGAAAUGGCAUGAUCUCAG